UACGAAGGGGGCGAGCGUUGUUCGGAAUUACUGGGCGUAAAGCGCACGUAGGCGGAUUUGUAAGUCAGGGGUGAAAUCCCGGGGCUCAACCCCGGAACUGCCUUUGAUACUGCGAAUCUCGAGUCCGGAAGAGGUGAGUGGAAUUCCUAGUGUAGAGGUGAAAUUCGUAGAUAUUAGGAAGAACACCAGUGGCGAAGGCGGCUCACUGGUCCGGUACUGACGCUGAGGUGCGAAAGCGUGGGGAGCAAACAGG
rnacentral:rRNA from 1 species